rnacentral:rRNA from 1 species
AGAGGCUACUGCUAUCGGGGUUCGAUUAAGCCAUGCGAGUUAAAUGUUCUUCGUGAACAUAGCGAACUGCUCAGUAACACGUGGAUAACCUACCCUUAGGACCGGAAUAACCCCGGGAAACUGGGGAUAAUACCGGAUAAGCCAUAGACGCUGGAAUGCCCUAUGGUUCAAAGCUCCGGCGCCUAAGGAUGGAUCUGCGGUCUAUCAGGUUGUAGUGGGUGUAACGUACCUACUAGCCGACGACGGAUACGGGUUGUGAGAGCAAGAGCCCGGAGAUGGAUUCUGAGACACGAAUCCAGGCCCUACGGGGUGCAGCAGGCGCGAACACUUUACAAUGCGGGAAACCGCGAUAAGGGAACCCCGAGUGCCAGCAUCAAAUGUUGGCUGUCCGGAUGAUUAAAAAUCAUUUGUUAGCAAGGGCCGGGCAAGACCGGUGCCAGCCGCCGCGGUAACACCGGCGGCCCGAGUGGUAGCCGUUUUUAUUGGGUCUAAAGGGUCCGUAGCCGGCUUGAUAAGUCCUUUGGGAAAUCUGGCAGCUUAACUGUCAGGCUUCUAAGGGAUACUGUCAGGCUUGGGACCGGAAGAGGUAAGGGGUACUCCAGGGGUAGGAGUGAAAUCUUGUAAUCCCUGGGGGACCAUCUGUGGCGAAGGCGCCUUACCAGAACGGGUCCGACGGUGAGGGACGAAAGCUAGGGGAGCAAACCGGAUUAGAUACCCGGGUAGUCCUAGCUGUAAACGAUGCUCGCUAGGUGUCAGACACGGUGCGACCGUGUUUGGUGCCGCANGGAAGCCGUUAAGCGAGCCACCUGGGAAGUACGGUCGCAAGGCUGAAACUUAAAGGAAUUGGCGGGGGAGCACUACAACGGGUGGAGCCUGCGGUUU